rnacentral:misc_RNA from 1 species
UAUUGUGCCAGAAAACUGGACGUCCACCUUUGGAGCUACCAAUCCUUUGAAUUACAGAUCGUAUCCCACUGACGGUUGGAUUUGCAACACCAUAUACAGGAAAUCCUGGAAUUUCUCUAAAGUUAGGAGCACCUUCUAAUAUUUCUGGCAAGCCAGGAUGUUGACAGCCAGGACAGUGGUCACUCUUAAGAACGGUUUGAGGUCCUAGAACCUCUCCGUUUCUCAAAGCAGCUACUUGCCCCAUUUCAGAAGGGCGAUCAUCACUAGAGUCAACUAAUUUAGCAAGAGAAGGUUCCAGGCUCAC